rnacentral:rRNA from 1 species
CCUACGGGAGACAGCAGUGAGGAAUAUUGGUCAAUGGGCGCGAGCCUGAACCAGCCAAGUCGCGUGAAGGAUGACUGCCCUACGGGUCGUAAACUUCUUUUGUAAAGGAAUAAAGUGAGGCACGUGUGCCUUGUUGUAUGUACUUUAUGAAUAAGCAUCGGCUAACUCCGUGCCAGCAGCCGCGGUAAUACGGAGGAUCCGAGCGUUAUCCGGAUUUAUUGGGUUUAAAGGGUGCGUAGAUGGGUUGUUAAGUCAGUUGUGAAAGUUUGCGGCUCAACCGUAAAAUUGCAGUUGAAACUGGCAGUCUUGAGUACAGUUGAGGUAGGCGGAAUUCGUGGUGUAGCGGUGAAAUGCUUAGAUAUCACGAAGAACUCCGAUUGCGAAGGCAGCUUACUAACCUGCCACUGACAUUGAGGCUCGAAAGUGUGGGUAUCAAACAGGAUUAGAUACCCUGGUAGUC